rnacentral:rRNA from 1 species
GCAAGUCGAACGGAAAGGCCUCUUCGGAGGUACUCGAGUGGCAGACGGGUGAGUAACACGUGAGAAUUUACCAUUUAGUGGGGGAUAGCCCAGCGAAAGUUGGGGUAAUACCGCAUACGGUCUACGGAUCAAAGACUUCGGUCGCUAGAUGAGAAGCUCGCGCGCUAUCAGCUUGUUGGUGGGGUAAUGGCCUACCAAGGCGAUGACGGCUAGCCGAUGUGAGAGCAUGAUC